GACGAACCGAGCGAACGUUGUUCGGAAUCACUGGGCUUAAAGGGCGCGUAGGCGGAUUGUUAAGUCAGGGGUGAAAUCCUGGAGCUCAACUCCAGAACUGCCUUUGAUACUGGCGAUCUCGAGUCCGGGAGAGGUGAGUGGAACUGCGAGUGUAGAGGUGAAAUUCGUAGAUAUUCGCAAGAACACCAGUGGCGAAGGCGGCUCACUGGCCCGGUACUGACGCUGAGGUGCGAAAGCGUGGGGAGCAAACAGG
rnacentral:rRNA from 1 species